rnacentral:rRNA from 1 species
CGGGUGAGUAACACGUGAGUGACCUGCCUUUUAGACUGGGAACAACUUACCGAAAGGUGAGCUAAUGCCGGAUGAGUUAUAUAAGUGCAUGUUUAUAUAGGAAAAGUUGGGGAGACCUGACGCUGAAAGAUGGACUCGCGUCCCAUUAGCUAGUUGGUAGGGUAAUGGCCUACCAAGGCGACGAUGGGUAGCCGGCCUGAGAGGGUGGCCGGCCACACUGGGACUGAGACACGGCCCAGACUCCUACGGGAGGCAGCAG